AUGUGUGCUUUGACAAACUAUUUCGUCAAUUUGAGGGUUUAAGGAUAACGAUUGCUGGUUCUCCGUCGUAAAAAAAAUAUAUUUUUGAACAGUGUAUUGAUAAAAAUACGUGGUUAAAAAUAAUGAAAAGUCAUCAAUUUAUGUAUAAUAUUAUUUUAUUAAAAAAUAUUUGCUGAACAAUGUAUUUUGAUGUAAAAAAUGAGGCCAAACGAAGGCUAAUUAUAAAUAAUUUUUCCAUUUAUUCAAAUUUGAAAAUAAGGCCCAUGGUCAUAU
rnacentral:lncRNA from 1 species